UUUCGUGCUUCAACCCACCUCCCUCAUCUCCCGACCGGAACGAGUACGCCGGUGUUCGGUGAGGUCCCUUUCGUUGAGAGGGCGGGGAAGGUGGGUGGGGGCGUGCGCGCGUUCCGCGCUGGAGGGCAACCGCGCGUGCGCCGUCCCUUCAUUGUGGGGCGGGUGAGACCCGGACGAGGGCGUCUGCGCAGUGCCGGCGCUGCGCGAGGGCCGGGAAUCGCGCGUGCGCAUUCCCUUCAUUAGGGCAGGGGUCAUGCAGGACCAGCGCGCCUGCGCAGUUGCGGAACCAUCUUUUUGUCGGGCUAACGGGGUUGGGGAAGCGACGAAUGAUUGGCAAGAAGUUCCCGCCCAACCUUAGGGUCUGCGCAAGCGUCGAAAGAAGUGUGAUGCUGCAACACCUGCUGAGUUUCUCCAACUCUUUCUGUUUAUGAAUUAGAGCCCCAAGUCCUUUCCCUGGAAGCCCUGGUUUGGUGCUGGGUUGAGAUAAAGCGAAAUGGGGGAACUCAUUCGAAACACCAAAUUGGAUCCAUGCAUUGGAUUUUAAAGGAAUGGACUUGAACUCAUUUGGAACACUGGGUUGGAUUUGACUGGGGAGAGGGGAGCUAAUAGAAACACUGGCAUGGAUUGGAGGUGGUGGCUUUCUGCAAUAAUUUUUACUGCUGCAGAACAUCUGCAGAGACCAUACAGGAGCAUAGAAUGUGCAAGGGUGAAAUUAGAAUGAGGAAAGGCAAGAGAAAAUGUAUUCACAGAUAAAAUCAUGGAAAGCUCAAUAAUAUUUUCUGAAUACAUUGAGAACAACUAAGAAAAACGUAUACUUGCAAAACAAAUAUAUUUUAAUAAAAUCUGUGAUGUCUUUUGCAACCAUUUGAUUUCUCAAAGUACCCUCAGAAGUGUUGUCACUGUUGUAGGAAAUGUAUCAUAGAAUCCUCACGGUGUGGAAGCAGGCUAUUCAGCCCAUUGAGUCCACACCGAUCCUCCGAAGAGCAUCCCAACUAGACCCACCCUCUUAUCCUAUCCCUGUAACCCUGCAUUUCCCAUGGCUAAUCCACCUAGCCUGCACAUCCCUGGGUACUAUGGACAAUUUAGUGUGGCCAAUCCACCUAACCUACACGUCUUUGAACUGUGGAAGGAAACCAGCACACCCAGAGAGAAUGUACAAACUCCACACAGUCACCUGAGGGUGGAAUCAAACUUUUGUCCCUGGCACUGUGAGGUAGCAGUGCUAACCACUGUGCCACCCAUUAAAAUGUUAGCCUUGGACUGUAGGUAUCUAGCCCAGUGACUUUGCCAUUAUACCACUGUAGCAUCCAAUUUUUGCACAGCAAGCUACCGCAGCCGGCAAUGUGAUACGAUCCCAGAUCAUGUUUUUAUUGGCGUUGGUUGAGGGAUAAGUGUUGGCCCCUCAACACUGUGGCUUUGUUUUGACGUUGUUUGGGCUACAGCCUGCUGAGAGAGAAGCUAAGCAGAUUAUUAUCUGCCGUUUACUGUGAAAGCCCAUUCAGAGAGGCCAGUGUGAGAGCUGUUCUCAUGAAAAGCCUCUGAAUUCUUGAUGACUCCUGAAUGACCUGUGUCUGCAAAGGUCCCAGAUGACAAUUUCCUGUGUUUAGUGCCACCUGGCUACGUGUAAGAGGAAAGCAACUGAACGGCAUUUUGAGCCUUCCACACAAAAUGCUAUUUACCUUUUAAAGACUAACCAUUAUUAGCCAAAGUGUUUAUCUUGUCAAACUUACUCCCUGUGGAGAAACCUCUUUUUGCUCUUUAAUUGGUGUUCAUUUAUUCAAAAGGAUAAAUAUUAUUUCAUAUUCUAAACUGUGUGUUAAUCAAUUUUACGUCUUCUCUGAAUGAUUUCCUUUUUGUUUUUACAAUAAAUCAAUAAUUCUGUUGUUUAGAAAGUAA